rnacentral:tRNA from 1 species
AUUUAUUUAGUAUAAUAAGUACUUUUGAUUUCCAAUCAAAAAGUCUAGUAAUUAGAAUAAAUA